GAGCAAGAUGGCCGACACGGCGGCCACUGCCGGGGCCGGUGGCUCCGGAACGAGAUCAGGAAGUAAACAAUCCACUAACCCUGCUGACAACUACCAUCUGGCCCGGAGGCGAACCCUUCAGGUGGUUGUGAGCUCCUUGUUGACAGAGGCAGGGUUCGAGAGUGCUGAGAAAGCAUCCGUGGAAACAUUGACAGAGAUGCUGCAGAGCUACAUUUCAGAAAUCGGGAGGAGUGCCAAGUCCUACUGUGAGCACACAGCCAGAACGCAGCCCACACUGUCAGACAUCGUGGUCACGCUUGUUGAGAUGGGCUUCAAUGUGGACACUCUCCCUGCUUAUGCGAAACGGUCUCAGAGGAUGGUCAUCACUGCCCCUCCAGUGACCAAUCAGCCGGUGACCCCCAAGGCCCUCACUGCAGGGCAGAACCGACCCCACCCGCCGCACAUCCCCAGCCAUUUUCCCGAGUUCCCUGACCCCCACACCUACAUCAAAACUCCGACGUACCGUGAGCCUGUGUCAGACUACCAGGUCCUGCGGGAAAAGGCUGCAUCCCAGAGACGAGAUGUGGAGCGGGCACUCACCCGCUUUAUGGCCAAGACAGGCGAGACCCAGAGUCUUUUCAAAGAUGACGUCAGCACUUUUCCAUUGAUCGCUGCCAGGCCUUUCACCAUCCCCUACCUGACAGCCCUUCUUCCAUCGGAGCUGGAGAUGCAGCAGAUGGAAGAGACAGAUUCCUCGGAGCAGGAUGAGCAGACGGACACAGAGAACCUCCCUCUUCAUAUCAGCACGGGCUGGAAGCCCAUGGCUUUACCUAAAGCAGAGGACCUUGUUAUUCUCCACUUCUGUUUUGGACUCAGUUAAUUUGGUCUGCGAUAUGGUGAUGUGGUCGUGGACUCAGAUGAGUUUCACGUUAUGAACAGGAGGCAUCCUCUAAGCAAAACCACCAUCCCUUUGUAAGUACCAAGUAGCUAAAGGGUCCGCAGAUAUGUGACUGGACACCGCAGGUGGUGACAGAGUUCAGGUCAUGGCCAUGAAUGAGCCGAGGCUACAGGAACACGGGAGCUGCUGUAGGACUCCAGGGUGCCGAGAGGCCAAGCCAGACGGCAGAGAGGAGGAAGAGCUGACCCUCAGAGUCACGCUGGCCUGGCCUCCGAUCCAGAUGGCGCUGCUUUCCAGAUAACAUGACCUGGGUGGCAUUCCCUAACAUCUGAGUCUGUUUCCUCACAAGUACAAGCAGGAAUAGGAAAACCUGUCUCAGCAGCGUACAUUGGGUGCCUAGCUGACGGCUCGCUCCCCCAGCCUCCCACCGUUUUAGGCUGUACCACCACCUGCUCUUCUAAUAAAAAUAAAUAAAUGAAAAGACCUCAAGAAAAGGAUCCUAGCAACAACAGAUACACAGUUGAUUGGACUUACUCCUGUUAUUCUGUUGAAUGGCAAAUACAAUCCUAUGUUUCAAAAUUCACAAUGUAGAAAGAAAUGUAUGGCCACCCUCCUUUACCCCAUCCUUGUUCCCUGUCAUCCGCUUCCCUGCCUACCAAGCAGCCAGUGUUCCCAGUCUUUUGUGUAUCCUCCCAGAGACACAGUUUCCUCCUUGUUUUAAACACAAAUAGCAAGUCACAGUGUUCCCUUCCUUGUUCCCUUUCUUGGUGUAUCUUGGUGAUCAUUCCAUAUUUGUAUGUCAGGAGCCUCUUCAGCCCUCCUUAGGCUUUCAUUGUGUUCCACUGUGUAGACGUAACCAUGGGACCUGACCAGCUCCGUGUAGAUGCUUAUGUUUUCUAUCUGUGCUUUACAGACAUCGUUAACAGUGAAUUAAAUAACUGCUAUUUUAAAUUAUUCUUUUAUCUACCAAUGGCAGCACUUUUUUCAAGGACUGUUGCUAGGUGGUUUACUUUGUUUAAUCCGGUUCCGGUUUCUCCAUGUACUUGAACAUAAAAGGACUAUUCAUUUUAAAUUAUGUGUAAGAGAAUUUUUUCCCCUUGUAUAUUUGAACUAGCUGCCUUCUGUGAUAAUACCCAUAUCUAAACUUGAUGCUCCUUUAUCAACAAUGUACCAUUCAUUCACUCAACAAGUAUUUAGUACCUUUAUGUGCUAGAUACCGUUCUGGGUGCUUGGGAUGCCUCAGUGAAAAGAACUAAUGAAACAUCUGUCUUUUGGAAGCCUGUGUGUUGGCCGGGGUGGGGGGAGGGGAGAAACAAUGAAUGUAAUAUAUAAAUGAAUCAUCUACAGUAUAUUAAAGAUGCAGAUGCUGUUGUUGGGGCAAGGGGACCAAGGAAGGGGAAGAUCCAGGGUGAAAGAUGGAAGUUUCAGUUUUAAAUAAGGUAAUCAGGGUAGACAUCACUGAGGAGACAUUUGACAAGAGACUUGCAGGAAGUAAGCAAGUGAGCCAUGUGGAUAUCUGGGGAAGAGCAUUCUGGAAAGGGAGCAACCAGUGCAGAGGCCCUGAGGAACAACCCAGAGGUGAGUUGGACUGUGGCUGAGGGAGGCAGUGGGAGGGAGGCUGAGGUCAGGUCAGUUAAGAUCCUGCAGUCAGCUCUCAGAACUGGCUUUUAAUUGGGUGAGUGGGAGUCGUGGGAGGGUGUGAAAUGGAGGAGGGACAUACCAGAACUUCCUCAAAGAUCUCUGUGGGGGAGGUCAGUUAGGAAGUUGUUGCGGUAGUCUUGAUGAGAGCUCUUGAGGGUCCAACAGGGCAGCUGCAGUAGAGAGAGCCGAAGUGGUCAGAUUCUACCCGUAUUUUGAAGGUAAGGCCAAGGAGUUAUCCUAACAGAUUUGGUUGUGGGAGUCUGGGAGAGAAGAGCAAGCAUGACGGUGGAGUUGUGGCUGGAACGACUGGAAGGACGGAGUCGCCUUGGGAAGGGCUGGAGUUUCGUUUCUGGCACGGAAGUCUGAGGUGCCUCUCGAGGCCCGGUGGAGAUGUUGAGCGAGCAUGUGGCUAUGCAAGCCUGGGAGUCAGGAGAGAGGUGAGGGCAGAGAGGAGCCUGCAGCAGUGGUCAGGAUAGAAAGAUGGCAUUGGAAACUGUGAGGCACUGCAGUCACCUGGGGUUAUGGGGGGCUUACCAGAGCGCACACACUCUGGCCUUCACAGGCUUGGGGAGCUUCUGACAGACUCUUCUGCUCCCACCUUUUUCAAGCAAAUCUCCAUGAAUUUGGUAUUUUACUUUUAUAUACUCCUGUCCCUCCCUAUCUCAAGGCUGCCUGUCCCUGAAGGAGGCAAGAAAGUGGCCAUUCCAGCUCUACUUGGGAGAAGAGAAGCUGUUGUCCCAUGACUCAGGACCCACAUCCUGGCCUUGUGAGACAAGAUGAUUCUGGAGCCGAGAAGGAGAACACCUCUGUCCUGCAGCAGAACCCCUCCUUGUCGGGCAGCCGGAACGGGGAGGAGAACGUCA